AGAAUCAUUCGCAAUGGGCGAAAGCCUGACGAUGCGACGCCGUGUGGACGAUGAAGGCCUUUGGGUCGUAAAGUCCUUUCGCUAGGGAACAAGAGAGAGUAACGAAUAAUUGCUCGAUUUGAGGGUACCUAGUAAAGAAGCACCGGCUAACGCCGUGCCAGCAGCUGCGGUAAUACGGAGGGUGCAAGCAUUAAUCGGAUUUAUUGGGUGUAAAGAGCGUGUAGGCGGAUAAGUAAGUCAGAUGUGAAAUUCCGAGGCUUAACUUCGGAGCUGCAUUUGAAACUGUUUAUCUUGAGGGUAGACGGGGAAAACGGAAUUCCACAUGUAGCGGUGAAAUGCGUAGAUAUGUGGAAGAACACCUGUGGCGAAAGCGGUUUUCUAGUUUAUUCCUGACGCUGAGGCGCGAAAGCAAGGGGAGCA
rnacentral:rRNA from 1 species